rnacentral:rRNA from 1 species
UACGAAGGGUGCAAGCGUUACUCGGAAUUACUGGGCGUAAAGCGUGCGUAGGUGGUUCGUUAAGUCUGAUGUGAAAGCCCUGGGCUCAACCUGGGAAUGGCAUUGGAAACUGGCGACCUAGAGUGCGGUAGAGGGUAGUGGAAUUCCCGGUGUAGCAGUGAAAUGCGUAGAGAUCGGGAGGAACAUUUGUGGCGAAGGCGACUGCCUGGACCAGCACUGACACUGAGGCACGAAAGCGUGGGGAGCAAACAGG